CGGCACCGCCGGGCUCUCAGGCAGCUGCGGUGAGGAGCCCGCGGUGAGCACUGCCCCGGUGCCUUCAGCACCGCUGAGCUGAUGUUUGGCUGGGCAUCGUGCCUGCACCAUCCUAUGCAGGAGACACAGUUUCCACAUCAAUGCAAUGGAAGCUGCUGAGGAGGAACCACCUCAGUCUGAUCUUUGUAAACUGCUGGUCCUCAGCCUUCAUAGACAGUUCUGGCAGUGCACUUGAACAAGGCUGCAAAGAUAAUUAAUGUGAGCAGAAGCAGCAGAGCUGGGAACAGUGAGCAGAUGUCCUGAGCUGGCCCGAGGAAGCCCAGGCAGCCACACCAAUACAACCACCAGCACACAGGGUCUCUUUGUUGUCUUGAGCUCUCAGGGUGGCUGCCUAACACCUGCAGCACUCCCACAUCCCUGUGUAAAUUGCCUGCAUCCCUCGAUGACAAAUGAGAGGCCAUUGCCAGCAACAAGGUAACCUGGCAUUCCCUCCGAGCUGCCUUCUGCUUCCCAGCCAGCUCCAGGUGAGUGGGUGAGCUCAGGGCUGGCAUGUGCCCAGCUGGCUCUGGAACCUGGGGUCAAUUGAGCCUUUCAGGAUCCCGCUGCUCCUGCCCCUGCAAUCACAGCCACAAGCUCUGGCUCUUCCAGUGCCUGGGAAGCAGCUGAAUAAUGCUGGG